AUGAGGCAAGGAAAUAGUGGGAGGAAAAGGAAGAAGCUCAAGGUGAGAAUCACAGUGUGGCUCUCCUCUGGCAUGAAGGCGCGGCUGAGAGGCACGAACAGUUUCUGGCCUUCCCCUGCCAAUGCCAAAGGAGAGCUGCCCUGCCAUUCGUUAGCCCUGCAAACAGCACGCACAGUUUCCAGAUACUGGUGGUGUUUUCAGUGGAUCGUUGUCGAGUGUGCA